rnacentral:rRNA from 1 species
GGCAGGCCUAACACAUGCAAGUCGAGCGGCAGCGACUUAACUGAACCUUCGGGGAACGUUAAGGGCGGCGAGCGGCGGACGGGUGAGUAAUGCCUGGGAAUAUGCCCUGAUGUGGGGGAUAACUAUUGGAAACGAUAGCUAAUACCGCAUAAUCUCUUCGGAGCAAAGAGGGGGACCUUCGGGCCUCUCGCGUCAGGAUUAGCCCAGGUGGGAUUAGCUUGUUGGUGAGGUAAUGGCUCACCAAGGCAACGAUCCCUAGCUGGUCUGAGAGGAUGAUCAGCCACACUGGAACUGAGACACGGUCCAGACUCCUACGGGAGGCAGCAGUGGGGAAUAUUGCACAAUGGGGGAAACCCUGAUGCAGCCAUGCCGCGUGUGUGAAGAAGGCCUUCGGGUUGUAAAGCACUUUCAGUAGGGAGGAAGGUAGUGUAGUUAACACCUGCAUUAUUUGACGU